rnacentral:rRNA from 1 species
UACAUGGGGUGCAAACGUUGCUCGGAAUUAUUGGGCGUAAAGCGCGCGUAGGCGGUUACUCAAGUCGGAUGUGAAAGCCCUCGGCUUAACUGAGGAAGUGCACCCGAAACUGAGUAGCUAGAGUACCAAAGAGGGUCGCGGAACUUCCCGGUGUAGAGGUAGAAAUUCGUAGGAUAUCGGGGAGGAAGCACCGGUGGCGA